AACGAACGCUGGCGGCAGGCUUAACACAUGCAAGUCGAGCGCCCCGCAAGGGGAGCGGCAGACGGGUGGGUAACGCGUGGGAAUCUACCCAUCUCUACGGAAUAACGCAUGGAAACGUGUGCUAAUACCGUAUACGUCCUUCGGGAGAAAGAUUUAUCGGAGAUGGAUGAGCCCGCGUUGGAUUAGCUAGUUGGUGGGGUAAAGGCCUACCAAGGCGACGAUCCAUAGCUGGUCUGAGAGGAUGAUCAGCCACACUGGGACUGAGACACGGCCCAGACUCCUACGGGAGGCGGCAGUGGGGAAUAUUGGACAAUGGGCGCAAGCCUGAUCCAGCCAUGCCGCGUGAGUGAUGAAGGCCCUAGGGUUGUAAAGCUCUUUCACCGGUGAAGAUAAUGACGGUAACCGGAGAAGAAGCCCCGGCUAACUUCGUGCCAGCCGCCGCGGUAACAC
rnacentral:rRNA from 1 species